rnacentral:rRNA from 1 species
UCUGUUUAAAUCCACCCGCUCAACAGUUGGGCUGCGGGAGAUACUGUAAGACUAGGAGGCGGGAGAGGUGGGGGGUAUUCCUUGGGUAGGGGUAAAAUCCUCGGAUCCAUGGAGGACCACCAGUGGCGAAGGCGUCCCACCAGAACGCGCUCGACGGUGAGGGAUGAAAGCUGGGGGAGCAAACCGGAUUAGAUACCCGGGUAGUCCCAGCUGUAAACGAUGCAGGCUCGGUGAUGGGUUGGGUUCGACCCAACCCAGUGCCGCAGGGAAGCCGUUAAGCCC